rnacentral:rRNA from 1 species
AAUAGAUACCCUGGUAGUCCACGCCGUAAACGAUGCACACUAGAUCGGAGAGGCUCUCACGCCCCUCUGGUCGCAGGAAAACCAUUAAGUGUGCCGCCUGGGGAGUACGGUCGCAAGACUAAAACUCAAAGAAAUUGACGGGGGCUCACACAAGCGGUGGAGCAUGUUGCUUAAUUCGAGGCAAACGCGAAGAACCUUACCUGGGCUUGACAUGCACGGAUCAACCGGAUGAAAGUUCGGCCACACCCGCAAGGGCGGAACGUGCACAGGUGCUGCAUGGCUGUCGUCAGCUCGUGCUGUGAAGUGUCGGGUUAAGUCCCUUAACGAGCGCAACCCCUGUCGUUAGUUACUAACGGGUAAUGCCGAGGACUCUAGCGAGACUGCCGGUGUCAAACCGGAGGAAGGUGGGGAUGACGUCAAGUCCUCAUGGCCCUUACGUCCAGGGAUGCAAACGUGCUACAAUGGCGCGCACAAAGCGACCCAAGAUCGCGAGAUGGAGGAAAUCGCAAAGAACGCGCCCCAGUUCGGAUUGCG